rnacentral:lncRNA from 1 species
AUGUGCAGGGCCGGAGGUUGGCGGGACUCAGAGCCAAGUUUCCACAGGAAGCAAACAACCAAACCCCGAAUCCUGACAGAUGUCCUGUCUACCGCAUAUCUUGGAGCGAGAUUUGACCUGCUAAACCUCCCUCAUUCGCAGUCCAUCUUCAAUGCUUCCGGGCCACAGUCGCAUCUCCCACCUGUGCUGUUGCUAGCCUACUCUUCCUCCAGUCGGCUCAACUUUCAGAACGAAGUGACUGCAUGGACAAGGACACGCCGCUUUGCCAACUCCAUGGAAGAUUGGUACCAUCGGCCAUAAAGAAGAGGCGAUCGGGUCCAAGAAUGAGGUGGGAGCGGUGUUUUGUAAGCUGAGUGAGAUCCCCUUUAUUCUCCUGAAGACCCUGAAGCUGGGCCAGGCUCCUGCUUUGUUGAUAAAGAGAGCGGCCGUGGGAGCGAGUGGGCGCCAUGCCGAGUCUCCCGUAAUUAUGAGGCUUUGAAGUGAUUGAUGUGAGCACCAUUUCCUCAUUAGGUAGCUCCAACUUAUUGAAGGCUCGAUCCUUAUUCACCCCCAAUUUCCCCCCCUACCAUCUAGACCGUGUUUCGGGAUCGGCGUUUUGACGCAGGGGGUCACAGGCCAUUUGGAGCACCUGUGUCCCGCCUCCGAGCACCUGGGGCGGGGCCCAAGCUCUGUUCUGAGUCCAGCUUCCUGUGGGUGCACACCCUGGGACACGGCAGGCGAUGGCUCCGGCAGCCGAGAGCCAUAAUUCAUUAAUUCACCCAUCAUUUCUUCCUUCUCCCCCCCACCACCUGUAUGAUGGUGCCCACCACAGCCAGGGCUGGGCCAGGCCAAAGACGGAAACCAGGAACUCCGCCCACCUUUGUGGGCGGCUGGGGCCCAAGUACUUGAGCCAUCAGCUGCUUCCCAGGGUGUGCCUGAACAAGGAGCUGGGAUCCCUGGGCUAGGGCUGGAUAUCAAACCCCGGCACCUGAUACGGGGUGGGGGUGUCCCCAGUGAGCUCACAGCCACUGCACCAAACGUCCUGCCCAAUGGACAGAGCUCUUCAAGGGAGGUCCCGGGGGAUG